GUAGGGUCCAAGCGUUAAUCGGGAAUUACUGGGGCGUAAAGCGUGCGCAGGCGGUUGUGCAAGACCGAUGUGAAAUCCCCCGGGGGCUUAACCUGGGGAAUUGCAUUGGUGACUGCACGGCUAGAGUGUGUCAGAGGGGGGUAGAAUUCCACGUGUAGCAGUGAAAUGCGUAGAGAUGUGGAGGAAUACCGAUGGCGAAGGCAGCCCCCUGGGAUAACACUGACGCUCAUGCACGAAAGCGUGGGGAGCAAACAGGAUUAGAUACCCUGGUAGUCCACGCCCUAAACGAUGUCAACUAGUUGCUGGGGAUUCAUUUCCUUAGUAACGUAGCUAACGCGUGAAGUUGACCGCCUGGGGAGUACGGUCGCAAGAUUA
rnacentral:rRNA from 1 species